CACUCACGAUUUGCUAUUGACUAGGAGGGUUUACAACCCUGCAAGGGUGGAUGUUAACGUGCUGAAGAUGAUUCUUAUCUGACCGCGAUGCAAACAUCUUGGGGAUAGAAGGGGUGCGGGAAGAAGCCACCCCCAAAUAUGCCUCUCCAACAAGUGGAUUAUUUUUAGAGCCAGAGAUCAUUGAGCACCAGCAGAGGCAAGAAAAAUUCUAACGACAGGGCACAAGUUUUUCUUUCAUUAGGGAAAUUUGCACAUACAAAGAAAAUUUUAAUUUGUAAAAAUAUCUCCCUGUCAGACCAGGAAAAGGAAUUAAACGACUUUACAAAAUGUCCCCUCCUUACCAUGCUUUUCUUGGUUACCUUCCCAUUACUUGCCUCCUUGCCCCUCUAACCACCCCCCAACUACCCAGAAGCCCCAAACCCCUUUUCCUUGUUUUACCCUAACUUGAUGUACAAACCCCGGUUCUGAUGACUUGCUUAUGACUCCAGUUACUUAUCUCUGGGUCCUCCCAUGUGGAGGCAGGUCCCACGUGCUAAUAAACUUCUGUUUGUUUUUCUCUGGUUAAUCCAUCUUUGGCCAGUCUCAUUUGCAGGGCCUCAGCUGGAGAGCCUAAGAUGGGUGGAGGAAAGGAGUUUUUCCACCCCCCACACAGAAAUGAAAAUUAUUUCCACCCAGAGAAACGAUACUCCCCAAAGGUUACAGUUUUGUUGCCCCGUAGAUCAUGAACCCGUUUUGUCCCUAAUGCAGCAAUCUGAUGCAUCAGUCUUUCUUUAAGGGACUACGAAUGUUUCUGUCUCUACUGCGCUCCUUGGAAACGGGUUUGCCAUUCUGGUGCUUCCCGCAUCCAUAACUGACUGAGAAAUCCACCGAAGGAAGAGGAGGGCUGCAGUGCAGGGCCGAAAGGCACGAUGGGAAUGACAAGAAUUGACAGCGCCAAGAGCAGCUUCUGAUUAAGGCGAGGAUGCUGGUCAGCAAGGAAGCACCUUGGAGGUGCCAAGAACUCUUCGUAGAUGGUCCCUUUGUGGAGCAGUGAUGGAUUCGAGAAGGCUGUGAGAACAACACCACAGACUCAGGGGCUGAUGAACAAGAUGGCACCUGCCGUCUGCCAGACCCUGUGCUGGAUACAGUAGUGAGCAGGCAGCAGUCAGAGCCCAUCCUCACGGAGCCAAGGGGGAAGCCACGUGAGUCAGGAUGAUCCGAGAAGGCUUGUCUCAGGAGUUAACUGGAUCAAAGGACUUUCUGGGGCCACAGGGUUAUUAUCAAGCAUCCAGGAAAUCCUCUGCUGAGCCAGCCCUGAAGGUAGUCCGGACAAUGCGUACCUACUAGGCCCUGGGCAGACCUUGUCACACCAAACACCUCAGGCCCACUCCUGGCUCCUAUGACUUUAAUCCAGCAGAAAUCAGGAUAAAGUACCAAAGGCCAACAUUUGCCAAAAAGAAAAAAAAGAAAAAAGAAAAAGAAAUCAUUGUAAAAAGCUGGCAACUGACAAAUCACUAACUGGAUGACUACAUUUGGAGAUAACAUGGGGGUCACAUUUCGGGCUUCCUGUGCAGGGGAGACUCGGGCCCUCCCAGCCCUGCCACCUCCCACCUUGCUGUCCUGUGUGGUCCUCGCCAGGUCACCAGGUCGGUGUGGGAAGUAGGGAGGGGAAGGGGGGACACUUGCAACCUGUGUUCGAGCGGGGAGGGGGUGGACCCUGAAGGGAAGCGGGCUGGUACUGGGCCUUGUGGGGACAUAGCUUCCUCCCUGUAAGGAUGUGAGGGCGACCAGAGGACCCCAGUCAUUCCUGCAGUGGUCCACCCAGGCUCAGAGCCAAUCAGGCCCGUCUCUGGCUAUUCCUUCCAACCUGGGAUCACAGCCACAUCCCCUUAUUGCAGGAGCAGAUCCCCACACUCAGCCCUGGGCCCCAGGAGCACUGCCUACCGUGCCUGGACUUGUCGAUGCUCCCCAGGACCCUGGGAAUGAGAGGAGGAUUGGGGAAGGGAGGGCGCUGGGGCAAGGGGGUGGACGGACAACCGCACACAUGAUCACGGAGGCAUCAAGGCUCCCCCGUGUCUGAAAAGAAGACUUCGGGCCCCUGAACUGUGUGGAAAAGAUGGGUUGAGGGAACUGGAUGGGCCCAGCCCGGUUUGACCAGGCCCGGAGCUGACCUCUCAUUGUGGCCUCUCAGUGCCUGAGGCUGUCCUUGGUCUAGAGAAUGCAGCAGGAGAGCCCUUGAACUUGUCCUUGGACCUGCUGACCAUGUUGAGGGCUAGUUUGGUUUGGCUCCAAGCCACUGGGUCUGGCCAUGGGGAUAGAAGUCCCUGGUCAGCUUUCUGGAUUCGCAGGCACAUAGUGAGGACAUGGCUAAGGAGAGACCCUUGCCCCGUGUCCCCACAGCUCCCCCUGGGUCAGGCCAGGCUCGUGGGACAGGCGCACAUAAUCUCUGAAUCUGCACAAAAUUUGGAAGCUGCACAAAACCUGGGCACCGCUGCUGUUCCAUGUUUGGCCCUAAGGAACCUGCCCAGAGUGUCAAGAGGAAUAAGUUUUAGGGCGGGGCACGGGCGCCUGGGGUUCUCAAAAUGCAGCACUUGUCCCUUAGGUCUGGAUGAAAUUGCGAAGGGCUGAACACCAAAGUGUGUCUUUUCUGGUCGCAGCUGCCUAUGCUGAUAUUCUCUUCUUGUUCCUCCACGACCCUUCUGCCUUCUCCUCUCUGCUCCCCACCUCAGGCGGAACUUCAUACCAGCAUCAAAGGCCCCCCUGCCCUCUAGCUUCCCACCGGGCUCGGCCAAGGAACCACCAAGAGAUCCAAGAAGGAGAGAUUCGAGGAGGUGGCAGUGGAGGCCCGAGGAGGGCGAGGGUGACACAAACUCAUUCCUGAAGGGUCUGGGCCCCUAGUAAGUCUUGCCUGGAUUGGGUGGCUGUCACUUUCCGUUGAUCUUGGUCAUGGGCAUGGUACUAUUUAAAAACUCCCUGAGGAAUCCCGCAUAGACCUGACCUCCUCCUCUUGACCACCAUCAAGGAGCAGCAGCCCAAUUUCUCCUGGACAGUCAGGCUUGGGUCAUUGAAACUCCCUUCCCCACCUGCUGAUUCAGAGUCAUGAGGCACUCAAAGUGACUGAGCAGUGGCCUUAACUCCCAGGCCAAUGGACUCCUUGCUGUGACUUAAAGGGAAGCAUUCCUCCCUUUGGAACAAAGACCUAUAGGCCAGCAGAGCAUAAGGUCAUGGGAACAGGAAGCAAACAUUUUGCUAAAGGGUCACCGGGGGUAACUGUGAGUGGUGCCACUCCCGUUCCCAGGGAGUGAUUCCUGGACCAGUGAUGCUGGGCUAUGGGAGGAAAAGCACCACAGGCUGAGUGCUGAUUCAGAGUGUCGACAGCUUUCUGGAAAACCCCAGGCCUGCAAAGUACCACCACCUAGCUGAUGCUGUAAGUGAGUCUUCAAAAGGCAUUCCGCCCCUGAACCAAGCCAUCUGCUUCUGGGUGCUGGCGACCGUGGCAGGACCAGUGACUCCCACGGGCACGUGCCCAUCGCUCACUUCCUCCUGACUGACGGCCUUUGAGCUCGGACAUCAGUUUCUUCCUCCCUUUGGACUCAAACGGAAACACCAGCUCUUCCUGGGUCUUGAGCCUGCCGGCCUUCAGACUGGACCUGCUCCAUCGGCUCCCCUGGGUCUCCAGCCUGCCAACAGUAGAUGAGGACCUUCUCAGCCUCCACAAUCCCAUGAACCAAUCCCUUAUAAUAAAUAAACCAGUACGUGUGUGAAGACAGCUACAAAUCAACAUAGAUGUAGGUACAUGCAUAGGUAUCGCCUAUUGCUUCUGUUCCGCUGGAGAACUAAUACAGAUUUUGGUACUGGGAGUAAUGUUUGACCAAAUAGCUGAGCAUCCUUGACCUACCAGAGCUGAUAUAUAAAAUUAAUCAUAUCACAACAUCUUUUUCUUCUUUAAACUCUCUUAGGCACCACCAUAUUCCCAAACCAAACCAGAAAACUUGGAAAUACCUUUUAGUCUGUCUUCUUCCUCAUUCCUCAGACUGUGUUGGUUGAAAUCAUGGCUCCACCACUUAAUAGCUGUGUAACCUUGGGGAAGUUACCUAACCCCUCUGGGCUUCAGUCUCCUAAUAGGUAAAGACACUUAAUAAUACCUACUUCAUAAGGUUGAGAUUUAAAUGAAUUCAUGUUUGCAAAAUACUUAGAAAUGCCUAAUACCAAGUAAAGGGCUAAAUGUUUAUUAAAUUAAAAUAAAUUAAAAAAAUAAAUCCACAUAAAGACUAUAGAACACCAAAGAGAAAAAUUCUUCAAAGCAGAGAAAAGAGAAAUUAGCUAUAAAAAUUGACAGUUAAACAAAUAAGCACUCAAAGACAAUAACAAACAACAGACUAGAGUGGAAUAAUAAUUUUAGUUUAUUGAAAGAAGAAAUAACUAGAAUUAUGUAACAAUAAAAACAUUUUUCAAAUAUACA